CACCUUGUCUUUCCAGUUUAUUCUCUCUCAACUCUGUAAGUGAGUGUAUAAUUAUCUCACUAAUAAUACUAUAUAACUUGUGUGUGCUGAUUUUUAUUUAACAUUAUAUCAAUAAGCAUUUUCUCUUGCCAUGAUAUAUCCUCCAAAUUUACGAUUCUCUUAGAAGGUUGUAUAAUAUUCCUUCUUAUAAAUAUAAUUUGUCCAACUAUUUUUUUUCUUUCGGGGGAUUCAAGUUGUGUUUAACUUUCAGCUAUUUAAAAUAACUUUUAAAAGUCUAUUUCAAAAAUCGAUUAUAACUGACAUUAUUUGCAGCAAAGCGGAACAGUUGACAUAAACUCAAUAUGGCAAACAAUAUACUGUGCUGUACUGGAACACUGUACUGGAGGAGGGUCAAAUGAUAAGAUUGCCAGCCUCAGCUACAACCCUCUUGUGAUGCAAGCGGCUGCAGACCGUGCUGUCUGCACAUGAGGUAAACCUCAGCCCCGCUUCCUUGGCUACAGCAGAUUGAACUGAGAAUUGACGCCUGACCCAAAGGCAACCAUUCAUGGAAUAUCCAAGUAGCCAAUGAAAUGGGCUGAUGCAAGAGCUCCGCCCCCGGUGGUCAGUUUCCUAGACGUGACCGGCCAGUGGAACAGAACCUCUUUCACGCAAUUAGAAUUUGGGACGUAUUGGGUGUGGGAGAGGGGGAAGUAAUGAAACGGUAGGGUGGAAAUGGGCAGACACCCUGAGAACCGUCAGAAAGCCCUGUCCACAUGGCGCUGGGAGCCACGACAAAACAGGAACAACGGCGUGGAGGAAAAGAAGUGCAGAGAGGGUUUGGCAGCGUGAGCAGAGAAAAGCAGAGGCAGAGCGCAGCUGAGUCACUAUACUGGCAGAGCAUUAGAGAGGGAGCAACAGAUGCCUACUGCUGAAGCAAUGUCAAGAAAAACAGGUGGCUGGAGGUAUACUGUGUCCUGAACGACAUUCCCAGCUCCGCCAGGCAGCUGUUAAAACUGCUUCCUGCUCUUCCCCACUUCCUCCGGUAUCCUUGCAAUGAACCACGUUAACCCGAGUCACCAGAGCACAUCUCUCUUCCUGGCAACCUGAAAAAGCCUGAUCAACGCCAUGUAAUAUUCAUAUCUCUAUUAUGGCACGUAUCAGGUGGCGUUAUGAUGAUUUGUUUUUAUGAUUCUCCCUGACUACACUCCUUAAGGUCAAGAACUGUGUUCAGUGCCUUCUUAAAACAUCCUCAGCAACCGGAUAGUAUACCAGCACAUAGGAGGUGCUGGCGAAUCGUUGGAUGAAUGACUGGAGAAAAGUGUGAGUGUGCAUGUGGCCAAAAGAGCCACGGGAAGUUCAGUUAGCAUUCCUCUAAAGGAGUUCAUCCUCACAAACAUUUUAUGAGGAAGAUAAAGCAGGCGUCGUUAAUGUCCUGGUGGGGAAGAGAAAGCUCAAAAUGACACAGUACCUUUCCUGGGAGCACAUAUUUCGUUAGAUUAAAUAAAGACCACUGGUGCUUGAAACACUAUUAUGCCAAAUCCACCAACUAAGUGUGAACAGGUUCACAUGCCCGAUGAUAGAACACAAAAGCCACAUUACAAAUGAUGCAGUCAUUGAAAAUGAAGCAUUUGUACAAUCUGAAAGUAUGAUUAAUCUUGUAGCAGAUUGAUUUCCAUAUCUCUUGUCCAUAAUGUAGUUAUUCUCACUUUACAUCAAAAAACUGAAGCCUGAAUCGCCCUCCUAGGGCCUGAAGAAGAGCAUCUACGACAGGAAACUAAACCUUGGAAGACAUCUCUUCAUUUUGUUGAAACCUUGGAAGCCCUCAAAGGGGGUGGGGA